rnacentral:lncRNA from 1 species
AUGGAGUUAAAUCCAGCUGGCGACCGGUCACGAGUGGUGUUCCCCAGGGGUCAGUGCUGGGGCCUGUCCUCUUCAAUGUCUUUACUGAUGACUUGGAUGAGGGCAUUGAGAGCACCCUCAGUAAGUUUGCAGACGACACCAAGCUGGCAGGAAGUGUCGAUCUGCCUGGGGGUAGAGGCCCUACAGAGAGAUCUGGACAGGCUGGAUCUCUGGGCUGAAGCCAGUGGGAUGAGGUUCAACAAGACCAAGUGCCGGGUCCUGCACUUUGGCCACAACAACCCCAGGCAAUGCUACAGGCUUGGGGCAGAGUGGCUGGAAGGUUGUGUGGAGGAAACGGAGUUGGGGGUAUUGGUUGAUGCUCAGCUGCGCAUGAGCCAGCAGUGUGCCCAGGUGGCUAAGAAGGCCAAUGGCAUCCUGGCUUGUAUCAGAAAUAGUGUUGCCAGCAGGAGUAGGGAAGUCAUUCUCCCUCUGUACUCAGCCCUGGUGAGGCCUCACCUCGAGUACUGUGUCCAGUUUUGGGCCCCUCACUGCAAGAAAGAGAUUGAGGCCCUGGAGCGUGUUCAGAAGAGGGCGACGAAGCUGGUGAGGGGUCUGGAGCACAGGCCUUAUGAGGAGCAGCUGAGAGAGCUGGGAUUGUUCAGUCUGGAGAAGAGGGGGCUCAGGGGGGACCUUAUCGCUCUCUAUAACUACCUGAAGGGAGGUUGUAGUGAGCUCGGGGUCGGCCUCUUCUCUCUUGUAACUAGUAACAGGACGAGGGGGAAUGGUGUCAAGUUGCACAGCGGGAGAUACAGGCUGGACAUUAGGAAAUUCUGCUUUUCUGAAAGAGUGUUCAGGCGCUGGAAUGGGCUGCCCAGGGAGGUGGUGGAGCCACCGUCCCUGGAGGUGUUCAAUAAAUGUUUAGAUGUUGUGUUGAGACAUGGUUUAGUGGGAUUAUUGGUGGUAGGUGGAUGGUUGGACUGGAUGAUCUUGUAUGUCUUUUCCAACCUAGCUAAUUCUGUGAUUCUAUGA